rnacentral:rRNA from 1 species
UAGGGAAUCUUCCACAAUGGACGCAAGUCUGAUGGAGCAACGCCGCGUGAGUGAAGAAGGUUUUCGGAUCGUAAAGCUCUGUUGUUGGUGAAGAAGGAUAGAGGCAGUAACUGGUCUUUAUUUGACGGUAAUCAACCAGAAAGUCACGGCUAACUACGUGCCAGCAGCCGCGGUAAUACGUAGGUGGCAAGCGUUGUCCGGAUUUAUUGGGCGUAAAGCGAGCGCAGGCGGAAUGAUAAGUCUGAUGUGAAAGCCCACGGCUCAACCGUGGAACUGCAUCGGAAACUGUCAUUCUUGAGUGCAGAAGAGGAGAGUGGAAUUACAUGUGUAGCGGUGGAAUGCGUAGAUAUAUGGAAGAACACAAGUGGCGAAGGCGGCUCUCUGGUCUGCAACUGACGCUGAGGCUCGAAAGAAUGGGUAGCGAACAGG